rnacentral:lncRNA from 1 species
AUGAUUAACUUGGCAUUUGCAAGUGUUGGUUAUAAAUAUAUAUUGCAAGAUUGAUGAUUUCAUUAAGAGGUAGAAGAAACAACGUAUUAAUAUUUAUUAAGGAGUAAAAAGAAAACUUAGUUGAGCCGUGGGCCGUAGGGCAAGUUUCGUCGUUUCUCGUACAAAAAAGAAAAAGAAAAAGGAGAGUGUGGGGACGACAAGAGUUGUUGUGAAAUGGACGAGUGUGAUCGGUAAUGUGACCCUCUUUGUCCCAAUCAUGUGUGCUAAUUCGACACGAAACGUAGACCUUAUCACACCGGAAGUUUUCUCGACACACGUCUUUUUUUUUUUUUUUAACUCCUUUAUUC